rnacentral:rRNA from 1 species
CAAUUAGAGGACAAGUCUGGUGCCAGCACCCGCGGUAAUUCCAGCUCUAAUAGCAUACGUUAAAGUUGUUGCGGUUAAAACGCUCGUAGUCGGCUUCCGACUGUCAGAUGCCUGAUCCGGGAGCCAAGGAAUGCUGCCUCUAGGGGCGCGCCGGGUGACUGGGGAGGGUGGGCGGCAGUCAAUUGUACCUCAGGCUGUAUCCUUCGGGACGCACAGACCGGCUGCCUUCGGGUAGACCCCGGUCGGCUUGGGGUAUCAAUUACCAUGAUCAAACUGGGGUGAUCAAAGCAGGUCGCAAGACCUUGCACAGCGCAGCAUGGAACAAGCUAAGCCGGCCUGGUCUCUCAAGCGGGACUGGGUAGGCAGAAGCAAAAGGGGUGUUCGAGGGUGACCGAAUUGCCGGGCGAGUGGUGAAAUACGUUGACCCUGGCAAGUCGACCAAAGGCGAAAGCCGUUAUCAAGGGCACGCCCGUUGAUCAAGAGCGAAAGUUAAGGGUUCGAAGACGAUCAGAUACCGUCGUAGUCUUAACUAUAAAUGAUACUGGCCAGGGAUGGGAUAUUGUCCAUCUCGACUCUUCCUGGACCUUGGAGAAAUCAGAGUCUUUGAGUUCUGGGGGGAGUAUGGUCGCAAGGCUGAAACUUAAAGGAAUUGACGGAAGGGCACACAAAGAGUGGAACCUGCGGCUUAAUUUGACUCAACACGGGAAAACUCACCAGGUCCGGAUACACGUAUGAAAGACAAGCUGAAAGACUUUUCUCAAUGAUGUAAGUGGUGGUGCAUGGUCGUUCGUAGUUCGUGGAUUGAUUUGUCUGGUCUAUUCCGAUAACGAGCGAGACCCCGACGUUCCUAAUAGGGGCGGCAGCCCGGCUUGCCUCACGGCUUGCUAGCAGCCGCCUAAGAUUUACUUCUUAGACGUAUCAGAGCCGAUAAGGUUCUUGAAAUGGGUUAAUAACAGGUCAGUCAUGCCCUUAGAUGUUCUGGGCCGCACGCGCGUUACAAUG